rnacentral:rRNA from 1 species
AGUGGUGUACAGGUGAGUAUUUGAUUAUCAACCUACCUUAAAGCAAGGGGCAAAUCCCUUAUAUUAACAAAGGUUAUUCCGCUUUAAGAUGACUCGAUAAAUCGUAGAGAUAGGUAGUUGUUAAGGUAAUGGCUUAACUAGCCCACGAUUCUCUUAGUCGAAACUGAAAUGGUUGAUCGACCACAUUGGGGAUGAAAAAAUCCCAAGACAAGCGAGUACAGCAGUGGGGAAUAUUGGUCAAUGGCCUAACGGCUGAACUGGCAACUUGGAGGAAUGGCCUACCUUACUAAGUAAGUAGUAAGAAUAGAGUGAAAAGGUUAAAUCGAUUAUCGAAUAAAAUUCUAAAUAUAUAGAUUAUAAUGACUAUAUAUAUUUAUGUCUUGACUAAUUACGUGCCAGCAGUCGCGGUAAUACGUAAGAGACUAGUGUUACUCAUUUUUAAUAGGUUUAAAGGGUACCCAGAUGGAAGAAAUUUGCCUGAAAAGGAACAAUUUCUAUCUAGAGUUUAAUAUAAGAAGGUCGUACUUGUGGAGUAGAGAUGAAAUUCUUUGAUACCUAAUAAGGGACUGGUAAAGGCGAAAGCAACCUUUUAUGUAAAAACUGACGUCGAAGGACGAAGGCUUAGAGCACGAACAGGAUUAGAUACCCUAGUAGUCUUAGCAGAUAAUGAUGAAUGCCAUAGGUUAGGUUAUACUUAGUCUAUAAAUGAAAAUGUAAGCAUUUCACCUCAAGAGUAACGUGGCAACACGGGAACUGAAAUCACUAGACCGUUUCUGACAUCAGUAGUGAAGUAUGUUAUUUAAUUCGAUGACCCACGAAAAACCUUACCACAAUUGGAAUUGUAUUUAUAAUAUUAAUAUUAUAAAUAUAACGAGUGUUGCACGGCUGUUUCCAGUUAAUGUUGUGAAACUGUGGUUUCGGCCAUGAAAUUAACGAAAACCCUUGCUUUAUUUAUAAAUAAUUUUUAAUAAAGCUGCUUUUAUCAUCAUACCGAUAAAAUAAUAGGGCCAAAGACAAGUCAUCAUGGCCUUUAUAUUGUGGGCUAUAGACGUGCCACAUAUUCCUAGACAAAGAGAGGCGAAAAUGCGAAUUUAAGCUAAUCUCAAAAAAUAGGAUAAAAUAGGAUAAGGAUUGUAGUCUGAAACUCGACUACAUGAAUAAGUAAUUACUAGUAAUCGUGAAUCACCAUGUCACGGUGAAUAUUACCUCGGAUUGGUACUAACCACUCG